rnacentral:rRNA from 1 species
CAAGUCGAACGUUAGAUGAGGAGCUUGCUCUUCAAAUCGAGUGGCGAACGGGUGAGUAACGCGUGAGGAACCUGCCUCAAAGAGGGGGACAACAGUUGGAAACGACUGCUAAUACCGCAUAAGCCCACGGCUCGGCAUCGAGCAGAGGGAAAAGGAGUGAUCCGCUUUGAGAUGGCCUCGCGUCCGAUUAGCUAGUUGGUGAGGUAACGGCCCACCAAGGCGACGAUCGGUAGCCGGACUGAGAGGUUGAACGGCCACAUUGGGACUGAGACACGGCCCAGACUCCUACGGGAGGCAGCAGUGGGGAAUAUUGCACAAUGGGGGAAACCCUGAUGCAGCGACGCCGCGUGGAGGAAGAAGGUCUUCGGAUUGUAAACUCCUGUUGUUGAGGAAGAUAAUGACGGUACUCAACAAGGAAGUGACGGCUAACUACGUGCCAGCAGCCGCGGUAAAACGUAGGUCACAAGCGUUGUCCGGAAUUACUGGGUGUAAAGGGAGCGCAGGCGGGAGAACAAGUUGGAAGUGAAAUCCAUGGGCUCAACCCUGGAACUGCUUUCAAAACUGUUUUUCUUGAGUAGGGCAGAGGUAGGCGGAAUUCCCGGUGUAGAGGUGGAAUGCGUAGAUAUCGGGAGGAACCCAGUGGCGAAGGCGGCCUACUGGGCACCAACUGACGCUGAGGCUCGAAAGUGUGGGUAGCAAACAGGAAUAAGAUACCCUGGUAGUCCACCCCGUAAACGAUGAUUACUAGGUGUUGGAGGAUUGACCCCUCCAGUGCCGCAGUAACCCAAUAAGUAAUCCACUUGGGGAGUACGACCGCAAGGUUGAAACUCAAAGGAAUUGACGGGGCCCCGCACAAGCAGUGGAGUAUGUGUUUUAAUUCGACGCAACGCGAAGAACCUUACCAAGUCUUGACAUCCUGCGACGCACAUAGAAAUAUGUGUUUCCUUCGGGACGCAGAGACAGGUGGUGCAUGGUUGUCGUCAGCUCGUGUCGUGAGAUGUUGGGUUAAGUCCCGCAACGAGCGCAACCCUUAUGGUCAGUUACUACGCAAGAGGACUCUGGCCAGACUGCCGUUGACAAAACGGAGGAAGGUGGGGAUGACGUCAAAUCAUCAUGCCCUUUAUGACUUGGGCUACACACGUACUACAAUGGCGUUAAACAAAGAGAAGCAAGACCGCGAGGUGGAGCAAAACUCAGAAACAACGUCCCAGUUCGGACUGCAGGCUGCAACUCGCCUGCACGAAGUCGGAAUUGCUAGUAAUCGUGGAUCAGCAUGCCACGGUGAAUACGUUCCCGGGCCUUGCACACACCG